rnacentral:ribozyme from 1 species
AUUUCCACUCGAUGUCCAAAGAAGCUGAGACUUACUUUGAACCUCAGGAAUCCAGCAGCAGUGUCGGAUUCGAGCACAGAAUUCCGGCGCUCGAAUCGUUCGUGAACAAA